AUUGAACGCUGGCGGCAGGCCUAACACAUGCAAGUCGAACGAGUGGCGGACGGGUGAGUAAUGUCUGGGAAACUGCCUGAUGGAGGGGGAUAACUACUGGAAACGGUAGCUAAUACCGCAUACCAUCAGAUGUGCCCAGAUGGGAUUAGCUUGUUGGUGGGGUAACGGCUCACCAAGGCGACGAUCCCUAGCUGGUCUGAGAGGAUGACCAGCCACACUGGAACUGAGACACGGUCCAGACUCCUACGGGAGGCAGCAGUGGGGAAUAUUGGACAAUGGGCGAAAGCCUGAUCCAGCCAUGCCGCGUGUGUGAAGAAGGUCUUCGGAUUGUAAAGCACUUUAAGUUGGGAGGCGUUACCGACAGAAUAAGCACCGGCUAACUCUGUGCCAGCAGCCGCGGUAAUUC
rnacentral:rRNA from 1 species